CAGGCGUGAUGAGAUCAGCGCUAGGAGCUUUGCUUGUCACUGGAUUUCAAGUAAGUUUUGCCCAUAUUCAGAUAUUACAGGGGUAAGUGACCUAUUGAUAAAGUAAAAUAAGGUGUUUGAAAGAGUUAGAGCAGCAUUUCCCAAUUGGUGAGAACACAAAUAGGGUUUCAACGUAAUUUUGCCCAACAAAAUGGCCGCCGCGAUUUGAUCGCUUAACAGAGGCCUGGUCGGGUGAUGCGGCCCUUUAUGAGCAUGACUGGGCCCCUGUAGUAUCGGCUGGCUGGGAGGAAGUGACAGCACUUCCUCCCAGCUUCACAGAGUUGCUGCCAUGUAGUAACUCUGUGGGAGGAGGGGACUGGAGAGGGAGCACCAUGCAUGUCAGAGGAGAGGCUGGAGUGAUCAUGCAACAGCUCACUCCCAUCAGCCUCAACCAACAGCACCAGGACCACAAGUUAGCUAACAGGAGAGUGGCUCUGAUGUAUGUCAGAUUGUGUGUGCCUGUGUGUAUCUGUGUAUGUGCAUAAAUAUGGUGUGAG